AUCACCACCAGGGACUUCCUUAUGUCAUCAGUUCAGUAACAUAAGUUACCAAGGCUCCCUUCUGGCAUGUACCCCCGUCAUUAUUCUCUGCAUUGGGGUUAACAGAGACCAACUCAGCUUGCUUAGUUCAUAGAAGAGGGAGAUCACAUGUCAUGUGGGAAACACUAGCAGGAAAGGCGGGCUAGCCCUGAUCUGGGAAGCUUCCUGAAGGAAGUGCAGUAUGGCCUAAGUUUGUCUUCAGUGAAGAGCAGCUGAGGAGGUCAGAGGAAGCUGGGGCACCAGGAUGGAAGGAGAAGCCAUGUGGACUCUGGUGUUUCCUGCAGCGGGGAACGUGUUUUCUGCCGCCAACGUGGAGGGAGCAGUUUGUGUGCACACAGCUUAAUACCCCUUCAGCUAUGCAUUCCCUUUGAUCCCGAGCUUAUUAAAAAAUGCAAAUCUAAAUUGUAUC